GAGGAAGUGGCAGACCGGUUAUGCAGCUGAUUUGAAAUUAGCUAACGGGGGUUCAACUCCUUCAUUCCUUA
rnacentral:tRNA from 1 species